CUUCCUUUGCCUUGACUUGAAACAAGUGUGUUAUAGGCUUCUUUUCGUACAAUGGACUCAUAAACUGAUCAAUAUAUAAAUGAUUUGCUGAGUUGAGUGAUAGAGCCAAUAGACCCAGGUCUCAGCUUCCAGAACCACUUCCGAGCAGCACCUUCCAGGGUCAAUGAGAAAGCUCUGCACCUAAUUGCUCCAGGCACAGCAUACAGCACCAUCCAAUAGUGAAAACUAUCAAGAUGUACAGCAGGCUGGGUCCCCCUGCCCCUCACCAGAAUAAGCCUUGAUUUGUAGCAUCUCAAAGUUGGUUGGCAAAGGGGCCUCAAGGAGUUCUCUAGUGAAGGGAGACUCAACAGUUCGACAAUCAUAAUUCCCAUCGGUUAUUCCCAUAAAAAAAUGGCUGAUAAAGGAUUCGCAGAGCUGGGUGAAAGAACCAAUAGCUAGACCCAGGUUUGAGGCAGGAACUGAACCACUUCCGAGCUGCACAACUCAAUGUCAGGGGCAAAACUUGACACAUUAAUGCUUGUGAUACGCCUUGCAGCUCCAUCCAAGAACGAAAGACUUGAAGGUGCUCGACAGGAUCUCCCUGACCAGAGUAAGCCUCAAUUCUUGGCAUCUUAAAGUUAAGUGGCACGGGUGCCUCAACAACUUCUGUAGUAAAGGGAUGACUAGGUUCCCUAUCUUCCAUAAAACCUCCCUCACCAGAGUAAGCCUCAAAUUCGGGAAUCUUCAACUUAGCGGUAAAGGUGCCUCUUCUUCCAUCUUCAACUUAGCGGUAAAUAUACAUAUAAUUAAUCGGUUAUAAUAAUUAGACAAGUUAUCAAGAAAACUAAAACAUUUUCUUCAUAUUAUCUAUAAUCUAAAGGGCGUCAACUGUUCAUUCGCGUGGCCACUGUUCAUUCGAGCCCGAAGUAAAUGACGCUUUUGCCCUUAAUUUUUUCUUAAGUUACAUCCCUGCUAUUCAGUCUGUUAUAAAUACCCGCCGACGAUUUUGCCCUCCCUUUCUAAUCAAAUUACACCCAUUUGCCCUGCCCUGCUGAUCUGCUGAGAGAUAGAAAGAAGAUUGCGAGAGAGAAAUAUAACAGAGUUCUUCUGGGUCUUCUGCGAGAGAGAGAGAGAGAGAGAAUGAAGGCUGAUCCGAGAGAGAUGAAGAACAUAAGACGGGAAGAGGAAGAACUAUUCGAUACACCAAGUUGUGGAGAAUAGGCCUGAUGCAAAGUCCUAUGUAGGUAUGGAGUGAGUAUCCUACAUUGAAAUUUUUUUCCAAAGGGCAACAAGGAUGGUGAAGUGUAUGGUGGAGGCUGAGAUUUGGAAUAUUUUGUAAAUUUCAUCAGUGAGAAAUGUAGGACUAGCACAGAUGCGAAAGGGCAACUUAUUUCCAUAGUUAGUACCAUUUUAAACCAAUAAAUGUACCUCAUUAGUUUCCUUAUCGAUUAUCUUCUUUUAUGUAGGCUGAAAUAGUCUCAAGUUUGGAGUUUGUUAUGUAAAACCAUAACAUAUUCGGUUAAUAUUUCUUAGCUUAUGAUUACUACUA